rnacentral:lncRNA from 1 species
GUCAGUGGCUGCAAAUUUGAAACCGAGCUGGUGCCAGUGCUUCCCAAACUGUGUUCCGAGGGACACCAGUGUGUCGUGAUGUGCUUUCUAGUCCAAGGAUGCACAGGAACAUUCUGGGGAACCGCGCGCCUGACGGGGUCCACCGCGCGCCGUCAGGGAGCAGCUCUGUGCCUUGGCAGAGCUGGGUUCCCAUCGGCUGCUGAGAUGAGAGGCAAGAACCGGAGUGGAAGUGAGGGGGCUGUGCCCACCGUGCCUCAGACUCAGGCUGUGCGGUGACACCUCGCCGUGCUCGCCCACUGCCCAAGGACGCCGGCGGCUGGACCAACCAAAGCGGCUUUUCGCACGCCCGCCCGGCGCUGUGCGCAGCCAGAGGGAAGUGACAGCGAACGCCAGCCCAGCCCACUUUCGCGUAACCCCAGCGUUGGAGCGGGAGUUUCCUGCUUUCCUGACUCCAUCACAUUCUGCUCCCGAGCUGAUGCCUUCUUGCCAGUUCCCCCAAGGCUCUGGGCUCCCGUUUCCCCACCAGGAAAUGAAGGUCAAUCAGAUACGCCUCUGACCAUCUCUGGAGGGGAGGAUGUGGGAGGGGCCGGAAGCCCACCUUCAAGGUCUCCGCCCGAGGCUGUUGGUGAGUUGUCAGAAGAGAAAGCAGAUCCUUGAUGGAGGAACCAACCUUCCGCCGAGGCCUCAGGAAUUCCUACAGAGAAAUCGUCUUACGUGUGUGUGUGCAAGCCGAGGCCGAGACAGAGACAUUCACUCAGCACGGUUUUCAAAAAAGAAAACGCCGAAGCACCUCAAGGUCACUCGGCAGAGGAGUGUGAAGAGCGACUGCCGAUUUCACAUGAGACCAGGCUACACGUGGACUGGCGUGGCGCAGUGGGACGGGGCUGCGCUAAGCCGCAACGCUCGGACCCGGUCCAAGAGCCCCGCGCUGACCUGCUGA